rnacentral:rRNA from 1 species
UAAGUCUCAGUUCGGAUUGUGGGCUGCAACCCGCCCACAUGAAGUCGGAGUUGCUAGUAAUCCCGAAUCAGCAUGUCGGGGUGAAUGCGUUCCCGGGUCUUGUACACACCGCCCGUCACGCCAUGGGAGUUGGGAGUACCCGAAGUCAGUGACAUAACCGCAAGGGGUGAGCUGCCGAAGGUAAGACCGAUGACUGGGGUGAAGUCGUAACAAGGUAGC